rnacentral:lncRNA from 1 species
UACUACUACUGCUACUACGGGUACUACUACUACUACUACUACUACUGCUACUACGGGUACUACAAUAUCAGUUGAUAAAAGUUCCCACAAUAGUAACAACACUCGUGACACGGUAAAAAAUGUAUACAUAUUAAAAAAUUUAAAAAAAGUGUUAAAAGUUUGUACAAUAGGACAAUGUUUUCGAUACGAAAAAAUAAGCAAAAACAGAAAAAGGGAACAUUAUCAGUGGAAUAUAGACCUAUACGGAAUAAAUAACACAAAUGCAGAAAUUGAAAUUUUAACUAUUUUGAUUUCUUUUUUUCAAAAUGUAAAUUUAUCACAUAACGAUAUAAUAAUUAAAAUUAAUAAUAAAAAAAUAAUACAAUUUAUUAUUAACCGAAUAUUUAAAAAAACUUUAGCUAACUUUUCUUCUAAUUAUGUAAAUAAAAUUGUAAUAAAAAAAAUAUUACAUAUACUGGAUAAAUAUAAAAAAAUAACAUCCUAUAAUUUUAAAUUAUUAUUACAAAAAAAAAUACCAUAUAUACAAAAUGAACAAAUUUCUCACUUUAAUAACAUAAUUACAAAUGUUAAAAAUAUAAAUGAUAUAAAAAAACUACUUAAUUAUAAUUUCCUCAUUUAUAAUGACUUAAAAAAUAUACUUUCUUAUUUUUAUCAAAUAAAUUUACAUCCAUUUUUUGAAAUCGAUUUAACAACAGUUAGAGGAUUAGACUAUUAUAACAACACUAUUUUUGAAACUUUUUAUAAAAAUAAAAACACGAGAUCUAUAUGUGGUGGAGGUAGAUAUGAUUUUUAUAUAAAGGAUUUACCUUACGAAACUACAUGUACUAGUCUCCCUACCAAAUACGUACCUGCUGUUGGGUUUGGUAUGGGAGAUGUUGUAAUAACAGAUAUACUAUUUAAUCAAAAAAAAAAACAAUUAUUUCCAAUUUAUAACAACAAAAUAAAUGUUGUUACAUACUUCCCAUUUUUUAAUCAUACAAACGUUAACAACAAAAAUGUUUAUAAAGAAUAUUAUAAUAUUUUACAUAUUUUAAGAAAUAAUAAUAUAAAAAUAUAUUCACUAUUACAAAGUAAUUUGACUCUAUCCAAAGCGUUAAAAAAAGCUAAUUUAUUACAAUCUAAUUAUUUUCUUUUUUUCAAUUCAGCGAUUAGCAUUUUUAUAUUAAAAAAUUUAUUAACAGGAAAACAGCUAGCUGUUAAUUCGGAAAAUGUCUUGGCUAUAUACAACUCGGUUUGGUGAAUUUUUUUUUUUUUUAUAAUACCCGCCGGUAAAAAUACGCUCACCAAACACAUGUGCAUGUACAUAUAAAUCUGCAUAUAAAUCUGCAUAUAAAUCUGCAU